UGGCGGCGUGGAUAAGACAUGCAAGUCGAACGAGAUUUUCCGUUGUAGCAAUACGAUGGAAAGUCUAGUGGCGAACGGGUGCUUAACACGUGGGCAACCUGCCGAGAAGUGGGGGAUAGCUCGCCGAAAGGCGAAUUAAUACCGCAUGUGAUUAGAGUGGACAUCCAUUCGAAAUUAAAGUCGGGGCAACCUGACGCUUCUUGUGGGGCCCGCGGCCUAUCAGCUAGUUGGUGAGGUAACGGCUCACCAAGGCUUUGACGGGUAGCUGGUCUGAGAGGACGACCACCCACACUGGGACUGAGACACGGCCCAGACACCUACGGGUGGCAGCAGUCGAGAAUUUUUGACAAUGGGGGAAACCCUGAUCGAGCGACGCCGCGUGGAGGAUGAAGGUCUUCGGAUUGUAAACUCCUGUCAUUGGGGAACAAUGCGUGACGCUUAACUGCCGUUGCGUUGAUAGUACCCGAAGAGGAAGAGACGGCUAACUCUGUGCCAGCAGCCGCGGUAAUACAGAGGUCUCAAGCGUUGUUCGGAUUCAUUGGGCGUAAAGGGUGCGUAGGCGGCGCGGUAAGUCGGGUGUGAAAUCUCGGAGCUUAACUCCGA
rnacentral:rRNA from 1 species